GCCCAGGUAGCUUAGUGGUAGAGCGCACGGCUGUUAACCGUGAGGUCGAAGGUUCGAAUCCUUCCCUGGGCG
rnacentral:tRNA from 1 species